CCGCUCGCCGCUCAAACGCGGCCACCAUCUGCUUCACCACCUGGUCGAAAAACACCGUCGAUAACUGCGAAUGUAGCAAUGAGCGGAACUCGAACGAGAUCUGAAAACCAACCACAUUCAAAGAAAGAGACCUGGGAUGAUUUUAAAGAUGUUGUAAUGCACGCUGGACGACUUACUUUGACCAGAUGUGGACGGACGUGGCUUAUCAUUGAAGUGUACCGCUCCACAACAGGAGGAAAGCCCACUUCCAGCUGAGCUUUGGCAUGACCGGCCCUUUUCAUGAUGGUUUGCGACUUUUUACACCAUGGUACAAAGUGUUUGUAGUCAUCCACAUUGACUACCACAUCAUACAUCUCUUGCAUUGAGUACCUAAAGAACAAAACACAGGUACAUCUUUUUAUUUUUAGAACUGACCCUUCGCAGGGCUUUUGAUUGACAGGCGAUCUGACCAAUCACAAUGCUGAAUCUACUAUUUUAUCCGAUAAACCAGCCAGGAGAGGAGAUUAAUGUUGGUGGACUUGAACUUGAAAAAUACUGUGUAUUGACGUCUUUCCGCAGUUGAAACAAGAUCGUUUUCUGAUGUUCAUUCAUGUUUAUUUCAUGUUACAACUAGUGAAGAGGAAGAGAUGAUCAGUUCACGUGCUGCUUUAACUGAGGCGCUACAGUGAUCUGUCACAAUGCAUUAAAGAGACACAAAAUGGUA